CCUUAGAUGUUCUGGGCCGCACGCGCGCUACACUGACAGAGCCAACGAGUAUAAACCUUAACCGAGAGGUUUGGGUAAUCUUGUUAAACUCUGUCGUGCUGGGGAUAGGGCAUUGCAAUUAUUGCCCUUCAACGAGGAAUAUCUAGUAAGCGCAAGUCAUCAGCUUGCGUUGAUUACGUCCCUGCCCUUUGUACACACCGCCCGUCGCUACUACCGAUUGAAUGGCUCAGUGAGGCCUUCGGACUGGCUCCAGGAGGUCGGCAACGACCACCCAGAGCCGGAAAGUUGGUCAAACUUGGUCAUUUAGAGGAAGUAAAAGUCGUAACAAGGUUUGAAGUAAGGUCCUUCCGUGGCACCUACGAGAAGCCUUUGUGACCCGGCAACGGGUACCGCCGCGACUAUAAAGAAUGAACGCAGGUAUUAAAACGCAAGUCGGCCCUGGAGGCCGGCAACACUUUCGAAUUGCGGGGACACCCUAAAGCCCAUCUCUACCAACCGAACCGAGGAAACCCGGUCGGGGCCUGUGUUAACAGCACGGGGUACGGUCAUAACGAGUGGGAUACGCGUGCGGGUUCCGCACCGUGGGCAAUCCGCAGCCAAGUCCCUAAGGCCUCCGGCUGGAGGCUACGGGAAAGGUUCACAGACUAAGUGGAAGUGGGCUGAGGUCUCCCAACCGGUCACCUCAGCUUAAGAUAUAGUCGGGCCGCGGGCGAGAGCCAGCGGGCAUGCCACCAAGACAUGAAACCGUUCCGUAGGUGAACCUGCGGAAGGAUCAUUACCAAAACUUAGCUGUCUGGCCGCAAGGUCUUGACGCUUCAACCCUCUGUGAACCAAAAAACCUUUCGCUUCGGCAGCAGCUCCGGUCGGAAUCCCGGCCGGUCGCUUCAGCCUGCCGCUAGCACCAACCAACCAAACUUGCUUUGAAAACUUAUGUCUGAUAACCAAAUUUUCGAAUGAAAAUUAAAACUUUCAACAACGGAUCUCUUGGUUCCCGCAUCGAUGAAGAACGCAGCGAAACGCGAUAGUUAAUGUGAAUUGCAGAAUUCAGUGAAUCAUCGAAUCUUUGAACGCACAUUGCGCCCAUUGGUAUUCCAUUGGGCAUGUCUGUUUGAGCGUCAUUACAACCCUCGACACCAGUCGGUAUUGAGCCCGCGCGGAGCUAACCCUCCGUGCCGGUUUUAAAGUUGUAAGCUCUGCUGGCCGCUCCGCCUGACCGAAAACAUAGUAAACCUACUUGUUGAAGGCCGGUGACAGCGGUACGGCCUGAACAAAACCUACCCAUCUCAAGGUUUGACCUCAGAUCAGACAAGGAUACCCGCUGAACUUAAGCAUAUCAAUAAGCGGAGGAAAAGAAACCAACAGGGAUUGCCUCAGUAACGGCGAGUGAAGCGGCAACAGCUCAAAUUUGAAAUCUGGGGCCUUCGGCUUCCGAGUUGUAAUUUGAAGAGGAUGUUUCGGUUGUGGCCUGGGCCUAAGUUCCUUGGAACAGGACGUCAUGGAGGGUGAGAAUCCCGUACAUGGCUGCAGGCUUACUUCCAUGUGAAACUCCUUCGAAGAGUCGAGUUGUUUGGGAAUGCAGCUCAAAAUGGGUGGUAAAUUUCAUCUAAAGCUAAAUAUUGGCGGGAGACCGAUAGCGCACAAGUAGAGUGAUCGAAAGAUGAAAAGCACUUUGAAAAGAGAGUUAAACAGCACGUGAAAUUGUUGAAAGGGAAGCGCUUGCAAUCAGACUCGCUUUCGGUUGAUCAACGUUCCUUCUGGUACGUGCACUCUGCCGUUGGCGGGCCAGCAUCAGUUGGGGCGGCGGGACAAAGGCGGCGGGAAUGUGGCUCCCUCGGGAGUGUUAUAGCCCGCUGUGCAAUGCCGCCAGCCCCGAUUGAGGUCCGCGGUUCUGCCUAGGAUGCUGGCUUAAUGGUUGUAAGCGAC
rnacentral:rRNA from 1 species